AAAAAUAAUAAUAAUAAUUAAAAACCAAUCGUUCAGAGAACCAUUGAUGGUCUUUCCACCAGUUAAGACCUUUUUUUUAUAUGAAAAUAUAAAAAUUUGGUUUUAAAUGUCAAUUGUACCGUCAAAUGACAGCUUAUUGAACGCUAAUUCCAAAAAAUGUAUGGUUUCUAUGGAAAAAGAUAUAGAUAAGGGAGAUAAUUGUUUACUUCCGGUUCAAACGAUGUUAUUUCCGGUAUAGUUUGAUAGUUUAAGUGACACUGAUUCCAAAAAUAUAUGGUUCUAUAUACUUUUUCAUUAAUGAAGUACAAAAUAUAGCUACUUCCGGUUUACAAAAGGUCACUUCCGGUUGUCUUUUUCUAGAUCACAUUGCUUGCAACCUAAUUUAAAAAGUCCCAAGUCUUGAUCAUGUAUACAUAUGAGGUAAAAGCAAAGGUCAAAAUCUAGAACGUUACAUUUACCUAUGACCUUGAGCUCAAUUUCGAGGUCAUCAACCAAGGACCUCAAAUCAAAAGACUCUAGGCCUCUACUAUAUAUAGUUAAUGAGUUGUAUUACCUUACAACUAAUAUUAGAUAUAAAAGGGGGCAAAACUGGCAUCAAAUGUCUACGUACUCUUUCGACUAAAAUCUACGUGUUACCACAUGUCGCAACUAACAAUUUAGUAAAAAUAAUUUGUCGAUAAGUUAUACGGCUUUUGAAAAUGAGUGAAAAUAAGCCAAAAUCAAAAUUUAUAAUAUGACCUUGACCUUUGACCUUGACCUUAUUUUCAUUUUUUUGGACCAAGGACCUCAAAUCAAAAGACCCUAGGUCUCUAUCACUUAUGGUUUACCAGUUAGAAAUGCAAAUUCUUAUAUCAAACAUAAAAGGGGGGAUAACUCUCAUAUGGAAUCUAUAUACGGCUUCGGUCAAAAUAAAACAGAACAUCCUGAGGAUAUAACGAGCAAUUUGGAAAAAUAAAUUUGUCGGUUUCUUAUACGGUUGCGAAGCCUUAGAGAUAACAAGAAAAACAGUGUUCGGGGAGAUAACUCUUAUUUGGGAAAGUAUUCGGUUAAAACAGAGUUGGUUUCAAAAGCGUAUAAACUGUUCGAUAUCAUAUUCCAAAAAUCUAAGCGACAUCUUGCGAAACAAAAAAACAGCGAAGGAAAAAAAUUAGGCGGAAGAAAAAAAAAAAAUAAUAAUAAUAAUUAAAAACCAAUUGUUCAGAGAACCAUUGAUGGUCUUUCCACCAGUUAAGACCUUUUUUUAUAUGAAAAUAUUAAAAUUUGGUUUUAAAUGUCAAUUGUACCGUCAAAUGACAGCUUAUUGAACGCUUAUUCCAAAAAUGUAUGGUUUCUAUGGAAAAAGAUAUAGAUAAGGGAGAUAAUUGUUUACUUCCGGUUCAAACGAUGUUAUUUCCGGUAUAGUUUGAUAGUUUAAGUGACACUGAUUCCAAAAAUAUAUGGUUCUAUAUACUUUUUCAUUAAUGAAGUACAAAAUAUAGCUACUUCCGGUUUACAAAAGGUCACUUCCGGUUGUCUUUUUCUAGAUCACAUUGCUUGCAACCUAAUUUAAAAAGUCCCAAGUCUUGAUCAUGUAUACAUAUGAGGUAAAAGCAAAGGUCAAAAUCUAGAACGUUACAUUUACCUAUGACCUUGAGCUCAAUUUCGAGGUCAUCAACCAAGGACCUCAAAUCAAAAGACUCUAGGCCUCUACUAUAUAUAGUUAAUGAGUUGUAUUACCUUACAACUAAUAUUAGAUAUAAAAGGGGGCAAAACUGGCAUCAAAUGUCUACGUACUCUUUCGACUAAAAUCUACGUGUUACCACAUGUCGCAACUAACAAUUUAGUAAAAAAUAAUUUGUCGAUAAGUUAUACGGCUUUUGAAAAUGAGUGAAAAUAAGCCAAAAUCAAAAUUUAUAAUAUGACCUUGACCUUUGACCUUGACCUUAUUUUCAUUUUUUUGAACCAAGGACCUCAAAUCAAAAGACCCUAGGUCUCUAUCACUUAUGGUUUACCAGUUAGAAAUGCAAAUUCUUAUAUCAAACAUAAAAGGGGGGAUAACUCUCAUAUGGAAUCUAUAUACGGCUUCGGUCAAAAUAAAACAGAACAUCCUGAGGAUAUAACGAGCAAUUUGGAAAAAUAAAUUUGUCGGUUUCUUAUACGGUUGCGAAGCCUUAGAGAUAACAAGAAAAACAGUGUUCGGGGAGAUAACUCUUAUUUGGGAAAGUAUUCGGUUAAAACGAGUUGGUUUCAAAAGCGUAUAAACUGUUCGAUAUCAUAUUCCAAAAAUCUAAGCGACAUCUUGCGAAACAAAAAAACAGCGAAGGAAAAAAAUUAGGCGGAAGAAAAAAAAAAAAUAAUAAUCAGAAGAAAUCCAAUAGGUCUUUCCACGGAAAAGUGGAAAGACCUAAUAAUCAGAAGAAAUCCAAUAGGUCUUUCCACAGAAAAGUGGAAAGACCUAAUAUUAC
rnacentral:lncRNA from 1 species